GUUCCUCCUCCCCUUUUUUCCCUCCAAUUGCACUCUCUGGCAUUCCGGAGAGUAUGCCUGUUUGAGUGUCAGUUUAAAUAAAAAUCGGGUAGUUGAGGGUUUGUGGCCCAUCGGGAGUGGGUUAUCUGUGACCUUUUAAAAAGUUUAAGUGACCUAAAAUUGAGACCUGGUGCAUCUCAGACGUACAUAAGAAUAUUUUUUUAUCCGUCCGGAGUUGCCAACUUUUUAUUAGUUAUGACCAUGCUGUUUGUGACAUCGUACCUAUAAUAUACUCAUAUUUUGACCUCAAAUCAGGUAGGAG
rnacentral:misc_RNA from 1 species